rnacentral:lncRNA from 1 species
GAUGUCCAGUCUGUAGUUAUAUUAUUAUCAUCAAUAGUAUUCACUGAGAGCUUACUAUGUGCUGAGCACUGUACUAAGCACUUGGGAUAGUACAAUACAACAGAGUUGGCAGAUACAUUCCCUGCCCACAACGAGCUUGCAAGAAUACUACAGAUGCCUAGCUGGCAUGCUUUCCCUUUACUACCCCUCCCACCCAUCCCCCCACCCCACCCAUUGUCAUUGUCAAUAAUCCUCAAAUCCCUGUGGAGGACCUGGAAAGAUGAGCUUUUAUAGAUAAGUCUCGGUAACUGUUCAACCCCAAGCACCAAGUCAGGAGUAGAUCCAGGAAAAGAAAGCUGAAUGAGUGAAAAAUGGCCUCCAACCCCCUUCCCCAGUUCUUAUUUGAAGCACUCAGAGUUUCCUGCCCAAGAGCCCAGCAGCAAAUAGAAUCAAACAUAUUGCCUGCAGCACCAUGGAAAAGAGACCGGGCCGUGAUGGAGAUCAAAUCUACUCCGUCGGGUAGGGGAGGGGCCGUGGCCGAUCCCAGAACUGCCCGUGGACUGGACAGCCCGGCUCAGCCCAGUCCUGCCCAGAGGAAAGGAAAACAGUCUAACCACGGGAUGCUCUUCCAGCCUCCAUUCCGGGCAGACCUGCAGACCCCGACCAGGGUCCCAGAGGGACCAAAGGGCUGAGGUGGGCACUGGGGAGGAGGGGCAGAUCUGGGUGAAGGGAAACUUUC